rnacentral:tRNA from 1 species
AGAGGUAGGCUCAAGGGUUGAUGGCGAUAGACUCAUAAGCCUGAGGUCAGUGGUUCGAUCCCACUUCCCGCUACCA